rnacentral:lncRNA from 1 species
CUGACUAGAGAACAAACUACCAAUUAACGAGCGAGGAAACAGGGCCAGAGAAUUGGAACAAAAUACAAGGCUGCCUCUGAAAGGAAUAUCUUUGUGCUGAUGUGUCCAUCAAGAGAACAUACACAGAAGUGACACUUGCCAGUAAUUUGCAAGCAGAUGGAACUUCAAUAUGGCAAUAGAGAAAGAAUCAAUUAGACCAGAGUCUCCUCAGGAAGACUUUCUAUAGGUGGACGGUCCCCUGGAGAGCCCGCUGUGUUGGAAGAUGUAGAAUAUUCAUAUAUCUGGUGAGCAUCUGCUAGAUGCCAGGGUUGGGGAGAGUCAAGUUGAAGCAAGCAUGAACCCUCAAGGACCUACCAUUUCAAGGCAAGAAAUAGAUACAAAUACAGCGUAAUUAUCUCUCCAAUUAAAGAGCAACCAAGGGACAACUGAACUGGAGGUUCUGCAGAAUUACAACUAAGCACGCAGCCGAGGAAUCUACUCAGCUUUGAUCUCUUAUCGCUCUGCACACACAGCCCUUUCUCUGUAAGGCUAGCUGCUCUCAGCAUCACUGUGUCUAAUCAAACGUGUCACACCUCCACUGAGAAAAUAUUUACUGGAUAGCUACUAGACAUAAGGAUGCAGAAAUGAAUUAGAAAAAUUCCUCGCCCUUGUUCAAAGCUAUGCUGGCUCUUAGAACAUCUGAGCCCCCACUGUUUCAUCUUUAGAGGAUCCCAGCUGCUGGGGUGUGAGGCCAGUGCUGGAGCCAGCAGUCUCUGACCCAGAAGGGACCUGAGGUGCUAAAGAAAAUGUCACAGAUGGAGUCCAAAAACAAAAUAACGGCCUGCUCCAUUCUGAUUCAAGUUCUCAUUUGCCUGUGCCCUGCUUUCCCAAGAGCCUAGUGACUGAUUGCAGACCCUUGAUUUCUGUGAGCUUAGACUAAUAGGUAUUGCAGGCAUACAUUCUGGGCUGAAGAUAACCAGAAAGCCAGCAACCUGAUGGGAGGAACAUUCAUUGCACAAGCUGAGAGUGAAAUGAGCUUCUACAUCAGGAUAUUUAACACAGACACAGAGAGGACGGUGCCACUGGAAGUCAUGCAGCCGCAAGUCAAGAAAUGUCAUGAGUGGCUCCUCUCCAGAAACUAGGAGAGGAGCAUGGGGCAGGUUUUCUCCUAGUGCCUUCAGAGACACAUGGCCCUGCCGACACCUUGAGUUUGGAUUUUUGGCCUCCAGAACUGGGUACAAGCUGGAAAAGGGGAAAAUGAAUCAUGCUACAGGCCAAGUGUCCAUCACUGAUUCCCAGAGAUGCCCUUUGUGUGGUAGGCACUUCCAUGUGGACUCGCUACAGAGUUUGGAGUUCCUGAACAACAUGGACAGUGUUAAUUUGGAUUCCAUGCUUCAUGGCACAGAAUUGGAGCACUAACUACUCAGUGAUGACUUUCUCUUCCUCUAGCUAAGGUGAUCAACAAGUUUCCUUGUUCUUUCUCCAAGUAGUAGAAGAAAGUAAAGGUCAUAAGACCCUAAUUCCAGAGGGCCCUACCCUAUAACCAGAAGGAAGAACUAUUGCACAGAGAAUCUAAGAAGAAUCUAGACAGACAGCCCUUGCUGGAUUUCUCCACUCUGUUAGCAUUCGAUCAUUUGCCUUUUGUCCAGUCAUAUUUCUGCAUGGCUGUCCAUACUUUGUUGAACCUAAGCACAAAAUGGAAAGUUUUCCCUGUAUCUUUGGGUCGUCAU